GUGAACGCUGGCGGUAGGCCUAACACAUGCAAGUCGAACGGCAGCACAGUAAGAGCUUGCUCUUACGGGUGGCGAGUGGCGGACGGGUGAGGAAUACAUCGGAAUCUACUUUUUCGUGGGGGAUAACGUAGGGAAACUUACGCUAAUACCGCAUACGACCUACGGGUGAAAGCAGGGGAUCUUCGGACCUUGCGCGAUUGAAUGAGCCGAUGUCGGAUUAGCUAGUUGACGGGGUAAAGGCCCACCAAGGCGACGAUCCGUAGCUGGUCUGAGAGGAUGAUCAGCCACACUGGAACUGAGACACGGUCCAGACUCCUACGGGAGGCAGCAGUGGGGAAUAUUGGACAAUGGGCGCAAGCCUGAUCCAGCCAUACCGCGUGGGUGAAGAAGGCCUUCGGGUUGUAAAGCCCUUUUGUUGGGAAAGAAAAGCAGCAGGUUAAUACCCCGCUGUUCUGACGGUACCCAAAGAAUAAGCACCGGCUAACUUCGUG
rnacentral:rRNA from 1 species